rnacentral:rRNA from 1 species
UCCACACGACUCUCGGCAACGGAUAUCUCGGCUCUCGCAUCGAUGAAGAACGUAGCGAAAUGCGAUACCUGGUGUGAAUUGCAGAAUCCCGCGAACCAUCGAGUCUUUGAACGCAAGUUGCGCCCGAGGCCACUCGGCCGAGGGCACGCCUGCCUGGGCGUCAC